CCAGCCGGUGGAAGGCACGGUCGACCUCGGCUCGCUGCAGGCGGGCCAGCGCUACAGCGUGUUCCUCGUUCCCGCCGGCAGGA
rnacentral:tRNA from 1 species